rnacentral:misc_RNA from 1 species
GAUAAAGAACGUAGCGAAAUGCGAUAAGUAGUGUGAAUUGCAGAAUUCAGUGAAUCAUCGAAUCUUUGAACGCACAUUGCGCCCCUUGGUAUUCCAUGGGGCAUGCCUGUUCGAGCGUCAUUUGUACCUUCAAGCUUUGCUUGGUGUUGGGUGUUUGUCCCGAGGGACUCGCCUUAAAGUAAUUGGCAGCCAGUGUUUGGUUUUGAAGCGCAGCACAAGUCGCGAUUCAAGGCUACACGCCCGCUUCCACAAGCCUUUUUUCACUUUUGACCUCGGAUCAGGUAGGGAUACCCGCUGAACUUAAGCAUAUCAAUAAGCGGAGGA